rnacentral:lncRNA from 1 species
GAAUAUUCAGGCUUUGAUGUGAUUUCUUGUUAUGAAUUGAAUCUUUUCCUGUUUGAAACUGGUAUAAUCAAGGUUAGCACGUUAAUAACAGCUAUGUUAACUGAUUAAGUUUAAAUUGAUACAUAAUGGAUUUUUUAAGGAUAAUACUAGUUUGAAGGAAUGAAAGACAUGAAUAGGCGGAGAUGGCUAAAUUUAGAUAAAAAGUUAAGUUUGGGGGGGAAAUUUGGGAUAUAUAAGCUUCGCUUAAAAAAACAAAACAAAAAAAAAAGAAAGAGAAAAAGAAAGA